rnacentral:piRNA from 1 species
UNGAACACGCCUUUCUUCCCAUUCCAAUCC